rnacentral:rRNA from 1 species
UUGGGGUUGCGGACAUAUCAUAACGAAGAGGUAUCGUAAUUGAAGAGGUUUGGAAAGACCCACCACAGAAGGUAAUAGGCCUGUAUGUUAAACGAGAAGACUUUAGAUAUGAUCCAGAGUACCACGGGACACGUGAAACCCUGUGGGAAGCAGGAGGGACCACCCUCCAAGGCUAAAUACUACCUAGUGACCGAUAGCGUAUAGUACCGUGAGGGAAAGGUGAAAAGAA